CCUUACAUGCUGAAACUUGUCCCCUGACAAUUUACCUGCCAUGCAAGCUCUCUGCCAAUUAUUCUUUACUCCUUAUGGCAAAACCUGGACUGAAGAAAAUUAAGAGGGAUAUCUCAAGAAAAGAGUUUCUUAGAACUGUGAGUGACAAAUUAGAAGUCUUAAGUAUGUGACCAAUAUUUGUCUCUAAUACAAUUUUCAGUGACUCAGAUGAUGGACAUUUUCCCAUAGAAGAGAAGAUUGAAAAAUACACUUGGAGAUUAGAACUGUUAACAUUCCUGUAUGGCAAGGGGCACAAGAUACAAUGUAAAUUUUUAAAAUUUCAUUUUGAUCCUUCAAUUCAAAAAGGCAAAGAACAAGCCCCUUUUGCCAUCUUAAAUAAUCAAUAGCAAGAACUUUCUAUUGGUUUUAAGAUGGUCUGUUUCUUGUCAUGGGCGUUAUAGAACAUCUGAGAUCUAACCCCUCUUGCCUUAUUUACAUUUUCCUCUCAUCUUGGCUACCCUUCCUCCUUCCUUUCUAUUCCCAUGAUACUUUAUGAUCCUGAGAAUAUACCUUCCCCUCUUCUAGUCUCUAGAAAGUUUAUUAGGGUUGCUUCCCAUCAUAUCUUCUUCAAGCACUGUGUUUUUUCAUUUUGUGAUAUUCUUCCCUCUUUGCACUGGAUGCACCACGAGACAGUUCAGAU